CCGCUGCCAGGGCAAGCAGGAGGUGGUGUGAGGUCGCCCGUGCCCGCGACGGCCCCGACCGGGGCGGGGGACCCUCCGGAGUCCCUGCCACCGCCCCACGCCGAUGCGCCCUGGCACCCUCCCCUUGCCCUGUGUUUUCACUGCCUCCUGCACCCAAGAGCCCGGACCAGCAGCCCGUCCGACGGCAGCGCCAGCGCCCAGCGCCCGGACUGCCGCGCCGGAAGCAAAGUCUCCUGGGACCAGCUCAGGGUUGCCAUCCCGGAGGCGGACGCACACUUCCAGACUGGCGGCCCGGAGGAGAAACCUCUUCCCCUUAGCCAGCGAGCGUGAGACGUGGACAGCCGCCGCGUAGAUCCGGGGGAGGCUCCCAAAUUGGAACCAGCCUUUGGCUGCGACACCACCCGCUUCCUCCCACCCGGCGGUCGGAAUAGCACCCCCUUCCUUGGCCCCUGUUCCAACCUCGGGUGCUGUAAAAAGCAGGCACGUAGCCGCGGGCGGAGCUGGGGACCGGCCUCGACCGGUCCGGGAAGGAGCGAUGAGUCUGGUUUUAGUUGACCUGUGGGCAUCCUGCUCACGCCUCCCUGCUCGUCCUACGUUUUGGUGCCUAGAGGUGGGGCGCAUCUCCAGCGGUGGGGAUGGGCAGGAGGGGCCGGUGGGCUGUUCCCUCACACCUCGGCAGUCUGCCCUACUCCGCCUUUGCCCUCAGGGUUCAUAAAGGUCAGGCAGGAAGACCUCUGACUUUGGCUUCGUAGUGACCCCAGUGUCGCAGGCUGCUGCUCCCCUGCUCGCCCUGUCUGUUUGCAUUAGGGAUCCCACACCACCAUGGAGGGAUGUGAGGGUGAGCCCCACCCCUUCUUUUUACAGAUGGGAACAGCCAGAGUGAGAACUCAGACCCGCAGUCCAGAGCUAAGCACGUUAAGCGGGAACCCUGGCCCACUGUGGCCCAGGGGCUCCCCUCUAAAAGAGGGGCUAGAGGCCAGGUGGGCCAUCUUUGGUGCUAUCUCCCCUCGAAGUCCCCGUGAAGAUUCUCAGUGCUGGUUAGCAUAGGAGGCCUCUGGGAAGCCCGUCUGUAAAAGAGGCCCUCGUGACGUGUGUGUUGUGUUCACCAGGCGGUCUGGGCCAGCUUUCCCCACCAGAAGGUUCCAGCAGGGCUGUGCUGCCCCGGCUCUCUUCAUUCCUAAGGGACCCAACCCACUGGCUGUGGUGGGGAGAUCUGGGGAGCGUCUUCUCCCCAGUGGGUGGGGCUGCUCUCUUGGCCCACCAGAGACCCGAGAACUGGCGAAUUCCAGUUUACAUGAUGGGAGAAGUGAAGGAAAGUCACCUGGGAGAGACCCCGGCAUGGACUGGGCAGCAUGGCGGGGAGUGUCCUGCUCACCGGACAGCUGGCUGGGCCUCGAAGGUCCCCACACUGCUGAGUCCAGGGAGAGCCCCAGAGCUGGUUGUGCCCACCUCCCAGGGCCCACUUCCCGGGCUGGCAACACUGUUCAGGCCUGGGCCAGCAGGAGUUCAGGCUUCACUGGCGGGGGGGGCAGGAGCAACUGCUCAGCAGCCUGCUUUCCAUACCAUCCAGUGGAAGAGCCCAGGUCGGGGAGUUCCUGAUUCCCCCUGUGCUAGGGUUUGGGCACAAGUUCUGGGUACCUGGAACUGAGCUGUGUACUCCUGAAGCCUAAAGAAUGGGUCCCAGUUCCAGCUUUGUUCUUUUUCCUUUUUCUUUUUAAAUUUGCCAGAAGGUUCCUGUACUCACCAAAGAGAGACGGAGACAAAGGGAGCGGGAGAACGCACGCCCAUGGGGAAUGGUCACGCUGCAGCCCCUUUUCUAUUCCUCCGUCAUUUUGGGAUCUGGGUCAUGCACACACACAGCUGGUAUCGUUCAAGCCUCCAGGACGGGACUCGAACUACCUAGUCUAGUUGGCCAUAUGGGACCCAGCCGCCUUAAUCUCUAUGUCACCGGCUGGCCCAGAUCCAGCUUUCUGAACCACCAGGCCAGGGGCGGUCCUUUUCUUUUUUUCGACCACUAUGUUGGUUGCAUCCUCAGCUCAGGUCCGCCCCCAUCAGGGUCUGUGGUCAGGUGACCUUCCUCAGGACCACACAGCUCCUCCGUGUCUCCCUCCAGAAGUGCCCAGAGCGUUCCAGAGCUCACUAGCUCUUCCAGAAGCGCCUUCUCGCUUGGCUUCCAGUGGCUUGGCGGUCCCUCUGCCUGCCAGGUGCCAGGACCUGUAGAACAGCUGCCACGCCCACCCCCUCCCUCCAGGCCUUGUGCCCUGGGCCAGGGCCACCUGACGUGACCUGGAACUUUUCACCCUGGAGGCUGUCUCCUAGCAUCCCUGUGUGGACACCAGGCUCAGUCCAGCCUAAGCCCUCCCUGGGCAGCUCCCAGCUCUACGGCCCCCUGGCCUCUUGCAAACCCAGGGAGGAUUUCUACAAAAGCCGGAAGACAGUGGGUUUCGCAGAGGUGGGGAUGCUUGGGGAGGGGACCCGAAGUGCCUCAUUCAUAGUUUAGUGGUGUUUACUAAGAUGCUUUUCUGAAUAAAGUGGUUUGUCCCAUC